rnacentral:rRNA from 1 species
CAUUAGCUAGUUGGUGGGGUAAUGGCUCACCAAGGCGACGAUGCGUAGCCGACCUGAGAGGGUGAUCGGCCACACUGGGACUGAGACACGGCCCAGACUCCUACGGGAGGCAGCAGUAGGGAAUCUUCCGCAAUGGACGAAAGUCUGACGGAGCAACGCCGCGUGAGUGAUGAAGGUUUUCGGAUCGUAAAGCUCUGUUGUUAGGGAAGAACAAGUGCGAGAGUAACUGCUCGCACCUUGACGGUACCUAACCAGAAAGCCACGGCUAACUACGUGCCAGCAGCCGCGGUAAUACGUAGGUGGCAAGCGUUGUCCGGAAUUAUUGGGCGUAAAGGGCUCGCAGGCGGUUUCUUAAGUCUGAUGUGAAAGCCCCCGGCUCAACCGGGGAGGGUCAUUGGAAACUGGGAAACUUGAGUGCAGAAGAGGAGAGUGGAAUUCCACGUGUAGCGGUGAAAUGCGUAGAGAUGUGGAGGAACACCAGUGGCGAAGGCGACUCUCUGGUCUGUAACUGACGCUGAGGAGCGAAAGCGUGGGGAGCGAACAGGAUUAGAUACCCUGGUAGUCCACGCCGUAAACGAUGAGUGCUAAGUGUUAGGGGGUUUCCGCCCCUUAGUGCUGCAGCUAACGCAUUAAGCACUCCGCCUGGGGAGUACGGUCGCAAGACUGAAACUCAAAGGAAUUGACGGGGGCCCGCACAAGCGGUGGAGCAUGUGGUUUAAUUCGAAGCAACGCGAAGAACCUUACCAGGUCUUGACAUCCUCUGACAACCCUAGAGAUAGGGCUUUCCCUUCGGGGACAGAGUGACAGGUGGUGCAUGGUUGUCGUCAGCUCGUGUCGUGAGAUGUUGGGUUAAGUCCCGCAACGAGCGCAACCCUUGAUCUUAGUUGCCAGCAUUCAGUUGGGCACUCUAAGGUGACUGCCGGUGACAAACCGGAGGAAGGUGGGGAUGACGUCAAAUCAUCAUGCCCCUUAUGACCUGGGCUACACACGUG